rnacentral:rRNA from 1 species
UGGAUGCUAGUCCCUGAGGUUAAGCCAUGCAUGUUUGUGAAGCUGAUUGUGGAGCGAUAGACGGCUCAGUAAUACUGCGAUGAUUUGAUUGUAUUAAUGAAUAGUAACUACGGGAAACUGUAGGUAGUAUUAUGAAGUGUAUAAUGUAACAUUGUACAUGAACAAGUAAGUUGCAGACCUAUCAACUAGUAGUUAGGGUAAUGGCCUAACUAGGUGGUGACGGGAGACGGGGGAUUGGGGUUUGAUUCC